GUAAGGAUCACUGUCGAGUCCAACUGCCUUUAAUUUAAGCAGAUAAUCGUUUGUUUUACUCCUGGUUUUGCAGUUUCCUCUACUAAAGGCAGCCAUGUCGCAACAUGUUUUGCCACUCAGUCUGACUGAGGGGGCCUAUUCGGGUGGGAAAGUGACGUCAUUGCAUACCCUCUAUUUACAGUAAAAUACUUAGUGGCAAUCUCAAAGAUUUUCAUUAAAAUAAAUGUUUAAGUCACUAUAUAACGCUGAAUUAGGUAACACAAUGGUUAUUGAACUUAUUAUUAUAUAAAUUAAUAUUGUUAUUAUUAUAAUUUAUGAUUAAAGAACUGGGCGUCUAUGGCUACAUUUCUGGGAAAGAAUCACAAGCGGCGCACAGUUAGUGACGCAUUUUCCAUCACCCAUCAGUGGUUGGUCCGCCAGAGAGGGUAGGCGGAGAUAACGCAACAGGCUCGCUCUUCAACUCUCUUGUGAGUGUGAGCGGCGUACGGUUAUUUUCCGGUGUCUACUAGUGUUGUGGAACCCUAAAAAGUUUUUGCGUAACAUGAUAGUUCAUAUUAUUUGUUGAUGUAGAUUUCGUAUUACAUUUGAUGACAAUGUAACGUUACUAAAUUAGUUAUUUGCACAGCUAACGCUAGCUACCAGACCAUGUCAAGAAAGGCAACAUUAGUUUAGACAACCUUGUGCACAGUCAGUAGCCAUCUCUCUACGGAAUAGGAUUAGGGCCACGUGAAAUUUAUUUUUUGAGUUCUGACUUUAAAGUCAGAAUUCUGACUCAUAACCAUGCUUACAUUUCAGAACCCUCACCAAAUUGGUAAAGGAGAAGCCGUGGAACUGGGAUCUGUACCUCAGUGCAGCUAUGUUUGGCUUGCGAACGAAGGUACAGAUCACUACAAAGUAUUCUACUUUGUAGUGACCUGAUGUUGGGCAGAGAGCAGAUAUCUGUGCGAGGUCCCAGAGACCUUUAGGUGAUAGAUGAAAUUUGGGCAGGGAGAAAAAGGUAAUCUGCAGCAAAGUUGGACCAUAUAAACUCUUCACUCAUGAUUUAAUGAGUACUGCACCAGGAGAAGACUUUGUUGAUGAGGUAUAUUCUUGCCUGCUACUAACCAAAAUUUAGUGCUUUGGUUCAUUACCAAUGUUAAAAAUAAUUUGCUUAUAUCCAGGUACUGAAUGCCUACCUAUCACUAAAGAUGAAGCAGAAAACAAAAACUGCUUUCUUGAUUGACUGCUUUGCCAUGACUGCAAUUUGGCAGGGAAAAUCAAAGUGUCUGAAAAAUGAAAAUCUUGCUCAGUUUUCACUUCACAUCUUUUCACUUAGAUGUUAAUGCACUAGACAUUUAUUGGGUAACAUUUUAUUUUUCAGCUUGAACCAGACAAAUUAGAUCUUCUCAUUGGUGCAGUAAAUGAAAACCACCACUGGACGUUAGUGGUAAGGCUUAACACUGCAUGCCAUGAAAUUAUAGUAAAUAUUUUGAUUGUCAAAAACCUAUAUUGUCUUGGCAGGCAAUGUAUCCACAGCAGAGAAGGGCAGUGUAUCUAGACCCAUUCGGGGCUCAGCCAGAAGCAAUUGAGAAAUGCAAAAAUGUGACCAGGUAAGAUUAAUUGUAAUACAACAUCUGUUGACUUAAAUGUUGUUAGGAGUUAAUCUGACCACUGGAUUUCUCCAGGGCAUUUAUAAGGACAAAAAUAAAUAUAUCACGCUGAACAUGUGGAACUCUGCCCCAUCCCAAGCAAGAAGAUUGCAACUCAUGUGGAGUGUUUGUCUGAAAAGUAAGUAUAGGUCAUUUGCAAAUGUAAACCACUCUAAAUGAAUACUACCUGAAACUAUACUUCUAGUUUGCAGAGUGCCUCUUGUCAGGCAGUGAGAUUGUAUUUGAAGUGGACGCAGGAAUGAGAGCCAUCCGCAGAGACAUAGCAUCCACUCUGCUGAGCUGCACUGGUAUGAGUAUGCAUAACUUUGGCUAAUCUAAGAUCAGUUCUUCCCAGUGUCACACAUUCAUUCCAUUUUUCUUAGAUGACUUGACAGACCUGUGUGUGGCGUGUGACGAUAUCACCAGCAGAUAUGCAAGAAAUGCUAAAUUGGAUGAAUGGAUUGAGUGCACCAGGGAGGACUGUGGACGCUGGUACCAUUUGGACUGUGUGGGGAGGCCUCAAGUGGAGGGGGAAUGUUUUGCUUGCAGUGAUGACUUAUUUAUUUAUUUAUUACCUACAAAUGUGAAUUUGUGGUGGACUUAAUAAAUAUAUUGACUUCCCAUUAUGUUGUAAUUUUAUUUUGCAUUUAGACUGUAGUGGUUUCAGUGCCUAGGUGUUAUCAGGGUUCCCCCUGAAUUGAUGUAUUUGUGCUGGGGUGUCUUUCAUGAAAUGAUGCUACUUGAAACUGGCUGAAGGAAACUUUGACAAGUGGACCCAACAAAGGUUUAUAAGCACAGUAAUAUAACCAACUUAAAGUACUUGGUUCAUUUUGAACCAUAAUCCAGUUAGAUUUAUACUUUAACUUUGCAGCUUUUUGUACAUCAAGUAGGCAGGCUAUACUCAAGUACAGAAAAUGAUCGUAAAAUACUCAGCUAGCAGUAAACCACUAGUGCUCUGUGGAUGUAUCAGUUACUUUAGACUUAACUGAAAAGUGGGCCAAUUUAGUGCCAAAGUCAGACUAUUUGGGCUAUAUUUAAAUUUGACAUGCAACUUAUAGUUUUAUUUAUUUUUUGGUAAGGGGGUGCAGGCAUUUACGGUUUCGAACGCUCCGCGCUAUGACUGCAUUAUUAAUAUAAAUAGACUGAGCGGGCGAUUAAAUUUAAUGCAUGGUAGGUUUCAUGUAAGUGCUAAUUUUAAUCUGGUAGUUAGACAGCUAUGUAGUGACGGCGCAGAUUUGUUUCUCUUAAAUAUGGUAUUUCUCCGUAACACUGUUCUAUGCUAGCGGUAAUCUCUGUCAAAGAAUGUGCACAAGUCAGAUAUUCUUCACGGUAAAGUGAAAUUUUCGGACAGCGCUUCCGAUACGGUUUGUGUCGAAAGUGCCGUGACGAAAACAGCCAAACCACAUCUGUCCAAAAGGUAAACAAGUCAUGCAGUUUUCACCAUAGACAUUAUAUCCAGCUGUAUAAAUGGAUACAAUGUAAAAUGCUAUGUAAAAAGUUGUGUAAGUCGCUCUGGAUAAGAGCGUCUGCUAAAUGCCUGUAAUGUAAUGUAAUGUAAUAUACGGUUUUCACGGUCGAGGAAAAUUUUACGACAACGUUGCGUUAGCUAGCUAGCUAGCUAAUGUAAUUAACAUAAUCUAAUGUCAGCUAACAAUUAGAAAAAAUGCUAGCUAACGCUACCGACUG